CCCCCCCACUCAAGCUCUUUUGCUUGGAUUAUUUUGGGCGAGCAGCUGUAAAAAGUUGCUGUCCACAAAUUCAUAGGCAGUAUGGUCUUUUCCAAGCUGAACGUAAUAAUUAAAAAAAUCACGUUUACUUUGAGAGAUAUUGUACUUGCCCUUAACCCACAAAUUUCUUUAU
rnacentral:misc_RNA from 1 species